GACGAACGCUGGCGGCGUGCUUAACACAUGCAAGUCGAACGGAAAGGCCCUGCUUUUGUGGGGUGCUCGAGUGGCGAACGGGUGAGUAACACGUGAGUAACCUGCCCCUGACUUUGGGAUAACUUCAUGAAACUGGGGCUCAUACCGGAUAGGAGCUCCUGCUGCAUGGUGGGGGUUGGUAAGUUUCGGCGGUUGGGGAUGGACUCGCGGCCUAUCAGCUUGUUGGUGGGGUAGUGGCUUACCAAGGCCUUGACGGGUAGCCGGCCUGAGAGGGUGACCGGCCACAUUGGGACUGGGAUGCGGCACAGACUCCUACGGGAGGCAGCAGUGGAGAAUAUUGCACAAUGGGCGGAAGCCUAGUGUAGCAACGCCGCGUGCGGGAUGACGGGCUUCGGGUUGUAAACCGCUUUCGCCUGUGACGAAGCGUGAGUGACGGUAAUGGGUAAAGAAGCACCGGCUAACUACGUG
rnacentral:rRNA from 1 species